GAGUUUGAUCCUGGCUCAGAACGUACGCUGGCGGCACGCCUAACACAUGCAAGUCGAACGAAGUAGCAAUACUUAGUGGCAGACGGGUGAGUAACAUGUAGGUAUCUACCCUUUGGCCUGGAAUAACACGAGGAAACUUGUGCUAAUACCGGAUAAGUCUUUACGGAGAAAGCUUUAUGCACCAUUGGAUGAGCCUGCACUUGAUUAGUUUGUUGGUGGGGUAAUGGCCUACCAAGACUGUGAUCAAUAGCUGAUUUGAGAGGAUGAUCAGCCACAUUGGGACUGAGACACGGCCCAAACUCCUACGGGAGGCAGCAGUGGGGAAUCUUGCACAAUGGAGGAAACUCUGAUGCAGCGAUGCCGCGUGAGUGAAGAAGGCCUUUGGGUUGUAAAGCUCUUUCGUCGGGGAAGAAAAUGACUGUACCCGAAUAAGAAGGUCCGGCUAACUUCGUGCCAGCAGCCGCGGUAAUACGAAGGGACCUAGCGUAGUUCGGAAUUACUGGGCUUAAAGAGUUCGUAGGUGGUUGAAAAAGUUGGUGGUGAAAUCCCAGAGCUUAACUCUGGAACUGCCAUCAAAACUUUUCAGCUAGAGUAUGAUAGAGGAAAGCAGAAUUUCUAGUGUAGAGGUGAAAUUCGUAGAUAUUAGAAAGAAUACCAAUUGCGAAGGCAGCUUUCUGGAUCAUUACUGACACUGAGGAACGAAAGCAUGGGUAGCGAAGAGGAUUAGAUACCCUCGUAGUCCAUGCCGUAAACGAUGUGUGUUAGACGUUGGAAAUUUAUUUUCAGUGUCGCAGCGAAAGCGAUAAACACACCGCCUGGGGAGUACGACCGCAAGGUUAAAACUCAAAUGAAUUGACGGGGACCCGCACAAGUAGUGGAGCAUGUGGUUUAAUUCGAAGAUACGCGCAGAACCUUACCAACACUUGACAUGUUCGUCGCGACUUUAAGAGAUUAAAGUUUUCGGUUCGGCCGGACGAAACACAGGUGCUGCAUGGCUGUCGUCAGCUCGUGUCGUGAGAUGUUGGGUUAAGUCCCGCAACGAGCGCAACCCUCACUUUUAGUUGCCAUCAUUAAGUUGGGCACUCUGAAAGAACUGCCAGUGAUAAGCUGGAGGAAGGUGGGGAUGACGUCAAGUCCUCAUGGCCCUUACGUGUUGGGCUACACACGUGCUACAAUGGUAUCUACAACAGGAAGCAAGACUGCGAAGUUAAGCAAAUCCUUAAAAGAUACCUCAGUUCGGAUUGCACUCUGCAACUCGAGUGCAUGAAGCUGGAAUUACUAGUAAUCGUGGAUCAGCGUGCCACGGUGAAUGCGUUCCCGGGUCUUGCACACAC
rnacentral:rRNA from 1 species